AUAUUUACGUGGCAGAGGAGUUACCAUGAUCAUGAAGGUGGUUUUCCCAGGGCGAGGCUUUUCCACUGCACUCCGGAUGUGCCAACCCCUUGAUUUCCUCAAAUGUGGGAAACUCAGCUGCAUAACUGUGGUAGUGAGGGACUGCAUUUGCAUUCUCCCC
rfam:Tupaia chinensis contig14066, whole genome shotgun sequence.